CCUACGGGGGGCUGCAGUGGGGAAUAUUGCACAAUGGGCGCAAGCCAGAUGCAGCGACGCCGCGUGAGCGAUGAAGGCCUUCGGGUCGUAAAGCUCUGUCCUAAGGGAAGAAAAAUGACGGUACCUUAGGAGGAAGCCCCGGCUAACCACGUGCCAGCAGCCGCGGUAAUACGUAGGGGGCGAGCGUUAUCCGGAAUCACUGGUCGUUGAGGGUUCGUAGACGGCCAUGCAAGUCAGGCGUUACAUCCCUCGGCUCAACCGAGGUCAGCUCUUGAAACUGUAGGGCUUGAGUGCAGGAGACGAGUGCGGAAUUUAUGAGGUAGCGGUGAAAGGCGUAGAUAUUAGGUGGAACAACAGUGGCGAAGGCGGCUCUCUGGACUGCAACUGACGCUGCCGAACGAAAGCGUGGGGAUCUAACAGGAUUAGAUACCCUUGUAGUC
rnacentral:rRNA from 1 species